rnacentral:rRNA from 1 species
AUUGAACGCUGGCGGCAUGCCUUACACAUGCAAGUCGAACGGCAGCACGGGACUCGGGCAACUGAGCCCUGGUGGCGAGUGGCGAACGGGUGAGUAAUGCAUCGGAACGUGCCCAGUAGUGGGGGAUAACUAGUCGAAAGAUUAGCUAAUACCGCAUACGACCUAUGGGUGAAAGCGGGGGAUUUUCGGGCAACCGAGAACCUCGCGCUAUCGGAGCGGCCGAUGUCGAUUAGCUAGUUGGCGGGGUAAAAGCCCACCAAGGCUUCGAUCAGUAGCUGGUCUGAGAGGACGACCAGCCACACUGGGACUGAGACACGGCCCAGACUCCUACGGGAGGCAGCAGUGGGAAUUUUGGACAAUGGGCGCAAGCCUGAUCCAGCCAUG